rnacentral:rRNA from 1 species
AACGAACGCUGGCGGCAGGCCUAACACAUGCAAGUCGAACGCCCCUUCGGGGGAGUGGCAGACGGGUGAGUAACGCGUGGGAACCUUCCCUGUGGUACGGAAUAACUCAGAGAAAUUUGAGCUAAUACCGUAUACGCCCUUCGGGGGAAAGAUUUAUCGCCAUAGGAUGGGCCCGCGUCGGAUUAGCUUGUUGGUGAGGUAAUGGCUCACCAAGGCGACGAUCCGUAGCUGGUCUUAGAGGAUGAUCAGCCACACUGGGACUGAGACACGGCCCAGACUCCUACGGGAGGCAGCAGUGGGGAAUAUUGGACAAUGGGCGCAAGCCUGAUCCAGCCAUGCCGCGUGAGUGACGAAGGCCUUAGGGUUGUAAAGCUCUUUUGGCGGGGACGAUAAUGACGGUACCCGCAGAAUAAGCCCCGGCUAACUUCGUG